rnacentral:misc_RNA from 1 species
UAUGGGGAUAUCGGGCAUUCGGGGUCCGUGGCAUCCGCAGUGAGGACGCGUCGCCGGCGCCGUUCAGUGUCAAAGUCAGUUGUGCCUGAGCUUGUGCCAGAGACAGUCAGUUUCGCUGCGAGUCUGCCAUCCAGCUGGUUUCCGCUUCCGGUUCCGUGCGAGGUCUUUGGCUAGUGAAUUGUGGUUGUGCACCUUUUUCUAACGACUUUUGUAAACACCCAAGUUUUUUGAACAACAACAUCAAAUUUAACAACGGCACAACGUAUUUUUGUAAACGUUUAAUGCGAUAAAGGUUUCGGAUCGUGAAAGUCAAAGUGCAAAUUGGCCCAGAAACAACAAGUAUCGUUUAUAAACUAGUUUCCAGCUCGCAAAAGUGUUUGUGUGUGUGUGCUACUGUGUGUGUUGGUGUGCGAGUGUGUGUGUGCAAUUGAUUAAACAAAAUAGGGGUAACCUAGGCCAACUGCAAGCGUAGAGACUCCAUUGCCAAAUCCUCGAUCCAGUAAGAUGGGCUGCAACACCAGCCAGGAGCUGAAGACGAAGGAUGGCGCCGCCAUCGAUGCGGUCAGCAAUGGCGAACCGGAGCCCAGUGCUCCUCCCCUGGAGGGCGAGUCCUCCAAGUCAUCCGCCAGCAAUCAUACCAAUCACGCCAAAUCCAGUUCAAUUAUCUCCAAUGGCGAGGUGAAGGCGGCCAACGGGGGCGGCCCAGCUGGCGGGGGGAGUGGCAGGUCGGAAGCAACAAAUGGCAUUGACCGUCCCUGCGACAAGGCGGCAAUCACGGAGCUCAAUGACGACGAGGAAGAAGAACCGGAGGUGGAGAUACUGAUACCACAUCACCAUCAUCAUCACGGCAGCAAAAAAUUCCAUCGAAAUCCCUUGAAAAAUUUGGAUCUCGAUUUUAAAUUCGAUGUCAAUUCGUUUUAGCCAACAGCAAAUCCCUCGACUGGUAACUAUUGGCAUUUAAUAUUUUACCGAAAACAGCAAUACAUUCACAACACAAACAGCCAAAGCCGCC